rnacentral:rRNA from 1 species
GAUGAACUUUAGCUACAGGCUUAACACAUGCAAGUCGAGGGGCAGCGGGAUUGAAGCUUGCUUCAAUUGCCGGCGACCGGCGCACGGGUGAGUAACGCGUAUCCAACCUUCCGUACACUCAGGGAUAGCCUUUCGAAAGAAAGAUUAAUACCUGAUGGUAUCUUAAGCACACAUGUAAUUAAGAUUAAAGAUUUAUCGGUGUACGAUGGGGAUGCGUUCCAUUAGGUAGUAGGCGGGGUAACGGCCCACCUAGCCAACGAUGGAUAGGGGUUCUGAGAGGAAGGUCCCCCACAUUGGAACUGAGACACGGUCCAAACUCCUACGGGAGGCAGCAGUGAGGAAUAUUGGUCAAUGGACGAGAGUCUGAACCAGCCAAGUAGCGUGAAGGAUGAAGGUCCUACGGAUUGUAAACUUCUUUUAUAAGGGAAUAAACCCUCCCACGUGUGGGAGCUUGUAUGUACCUUAUGAAUAAGCAUCGGCUAACUCCGUGCCAGCAGCCGCGGUAAUACGGAGGAUGCGAGCGUUAUCCGGAUUUAUUGGGUUUAAAGGGAGCGCAGACGGGUCGUUAAGUCAGCUGUGAAAGUUUGGGGCUCAACCUUAAAAUUGCAGUUGAUACUGGCGUCCUCGAGUGCGGUUGAGGUGUGCGGAAUUCGUGGUGUAGCGGUGAAAUGCUUAGAUAUCACGAAGAACUCCGAUUGCGAAGGCAGCACACUAAUCCGUAACUGACGUUCAUGCUCGAAAGUGUGGGUAUCAAACAGGAUUAGAUCCCCUGGUAGUCCAC